AUUGAACGCUGGCGGCAGGCCUAACACAUGCAAGUCGAGCGGAUGACGGGAGCUUGCUCCUUGAUUCAGCGGCGGACGGGUGAGUAAUGCCUAGGAAUCUGCCUGGUAGUGGGGGACAACGUUUCGAAAGGAACGCUAAUACCGCAUACGUCCUACGGGAGAAAGCAGGGGACCUUCGGGCCUUGCGCUAUCAGAUGAGCCUAGGUCGGAUUAGCUAGUUGGUGGGGUAAUGGCUCAUCAAGGCGACGAUCCGUAACUGGUCUGAGAGGAUGACCAGUCACACUGGAACUGAGACACGGUCCAGACUCCUACGGGAGGCAGCAGUGGGGAAUAUUGGACAAUGGGCGAAAGCCUGAUCCAGCCAUGCCGCGUGUGUGAAGAAGGUCUUCGGAUUGUAAAGCACUUUAAGUUGGGAGGAAGGGCAGUAAGUUAAUACCUUGCUGUUUUGACGUUACCGACAGAAUGAGCACCGGCUAACUCUGUGCCAGCCGCCGCGGUAA
rnacentral:rRNA from 1 species